AAGUUCAAUGUCAUUUCCAUCCAAUACCAAUUCAUCCUUAACUUUUUCAGAACGGACAACUGUAACCCCAUCAAGCAUAUCGACUUUCCUUACCUUUUUCUCGCCGAGAAAGUUCCUAAUCUCAAUAGACUUGUUCCCACCGGAGAUUGAAGCAUUGAUAGGAAAAUGUGCAUACACAAAACGCAUUUUGUAACGGUAUCCUUUAGUAACACCAGUGAUGAGAUUCUCAACGUGACUAAGUGCAGUUCGAAUAGCAGCAGUAGUCUUCCGAGAUCCAAACCAAGCAUCAAUUUUGAGCUUUUUCUUACCGGUUUCUUCAUCCUUUAUGAGCUGAAAAUCAAGGUUCAAGUGCUUGAAAUUGCGAGUCAGCUUUCCUCUAGGUCCUUCAACUUCAAUUUGCUUUGCUUUUACCUUGAUAGUUAUCCCGUCAGGGAUAUCCAUUGUCUCCGAUGAGAGUAUAGUCUUCAUUCUUCUUCUAUCUCUCGGCGAUUCUGCGGAGAAUCAGAAACCCUAGAAAAAUGGGAAUUUA
rnacentral:misc_RNA from 1 species